AUGCUUGCAUUCGAUCAAGGUCAAUCAUUCCAUUUUGUUUAACUACUGAGUAGUCAAAAACAUAAAUAAUAGUUUUACGUAUUUUACAUUUAUUACCAUUUGAAAGAUAAUAUCAAACCUAAACGUCUUUUCAAUCGUGUUUUUGAAUUUGUUUCAUUUAUGUGCUUAAACUAAUACAUCAUCAUAAUCUACUGAUCCUUAUUUAUAUUUUUUUUUUUGAAAGAAAUCAACGAGCAUGUCUUCUUGUGAAACAAAAGACGCUACAUCAAAAGCUGAGCAAGGUGUGCAAAUUGAGGAAAAUGGCGCUGGCGCCAUCAGAUGCUUCAAAAAUCUGGCAAAAAACGAGAAGGAUAUUAUAGGAGAAGCUUCGAAGUUGGCUUCCAAAAAUUUGGAGAUUAAAGAAGUAAUUUUUACGCCUCCACCUCCACCACCACCAACACCAGUUCAACGUAAACUGAAAGCAAAACAUCCAGUAAAGGCUGACGCGUUAAAUGAACAACUGGACUAUGGAAUUGAUGUAAUUCAGGCGCUGAAUGAUGACCAGUCUAAGGGGAAUAUUACAUGCAUUCCUCCUCCACCUCCUCCAUUGCCAAAAGAACCGGUACAAUAUGCCAUAAGUAAAGUGAGCGACGUAAACUUAGAAGUUAAUCUCAAAAUGGCGAAAUUUAAAUUAAAAGCCAUUGGAAAUAAUGUUGAGCCAAUGCAGAAAAAUGUUUCGGACGUGAAACAAAAUAAAACUAUGGUUCUGAUGGAAUUUCCAAAGAAGACGUAUAUAGAUGAAAUAAUAAAAAUGGCAGAACGUAAUAUUCGCGUUCAGAAGUUAAAGGAAAAACAAAUGAUUACUAGACCAUCCGUAAUAUCUGUUGCUAUACCAUUGCCUCCGCCAACGAGCAUCUCCACGAAGAAUAAACUAGAGAAAUUACCGAUGACGAUAAAUGACGGCGAAAUCGAGUGUUGUAGUGAACUUGCAAAGAAACCUCUGCAACAACAAACUUGUGCCCUUCACCAUCAUCAUCACGAUCACCACAACGAGGAGGAUGUAUUGUCCUUACAAGUUUUGUCAGCACGUUCGUCCACGCCCUACACUCAACCGAUGUCAUGCACAGCUGCCAGCUGCGACCUAGAGAAUGUUGCUGAACAUGUAAGUCCUGUUAAGGACAGUGAGGGCAACGUUCCCAAACAGAACAUUAGAGAAAUUCGAGAUGCCUAUAAAGUAAAGAAAAUUCCACUGAUACCAUCGAAAUCGUCAUUGCCAUUAACAAGUAACUUAUGCAAAAAACAUUCCAGAACUAAAUCGUCUGCGAAUGCUACAGGAAUACGCUAUACUCGAGCUAACCUCCUUCUCAUUCGCAACGAGAUAUUGGCUCUAGCCAAAUCAAAACAAAAUCAAGUCCCAUCUCAUGGUCCACCUAAUAUGGUCAAUUGUGAUGUUAUUGAAUUGGAAGCCCGUCUAAAACGACUUGCUAUUUGGAAGGAUGGUGAUAAUGAUUCCCCAUCUGCGAUGUAUGGAACCAGUCAAAAUCAUAGCAACAUGAAAUCUCGUUGUAACGAUAUGAUGCCGGCGUUUGUCAAACGUAAAUUUAUGGACGAAUCUAUUAUUAGAAGUCAACCACCACAACCUGUAGAGUUUAAGGAUCCAGCUAUAAUAACCAAUCAGAGGCGAAUCGGUAGCGGGCGCAUACAGCAUCCUAAAUGGUCCUCCAAUUUUUCUCAUCAACAUCAGCAAGAUAAUAAUCAUCAUCAAUCGAAAUCUUUUGGUGGUGGCUUUCAAGAUCUGGAUACUCAAAAUAACGAAACAGAUAAAAUUACCGGAAAACUUAAGUUGUUGCAAUUCAUGGAUAAUGGAACUAUUAGCAAUCAUGAAGUACAUAACAUCCAUCAUUCGACAGUAUCAAAUAGUAUUGGUACCGUAAUGAAACAGGACGUGAGUGCUAAAGAUCGCACUGAUAUCGGAAAAUCCAAUUAUGUUAAACGUGUUGUGUCGGGCUUCCUAGUUGUGUCGAAUCCCAAGGAUAGAGAAUCUGAGGAUAAAUACGAGCAACAGCAUAAAACUCACAAUGAGGAACCCGAAUGGUUCAGUUGUGGACCAACAUCACGUUUGGAUACAAUUGAGUUGUGCGGUUUCGACGAAGAUGAUGAUCAUCAUUCUGAGAAAAAUAGUAGUCGUCACAGCAAAGAGACGGUUGAUGACGAUGAAUACAAAGAAAAUCAAAUACAACAUGCCAAUAAGAAUGAAUCUAAAGCAAAUCGAAUGCGUAAAUUGUCGUCGAAAAGUGAUGCCAACAACAACAUCCAGCCGCAUCAAAAGGACAUACAUAUAGUUGAGACAACAAAGCCACAUCAAAAUGAGAAAAAAUCCCUACCAUUUCAAUAUGAUCAUUUUUCGGGAAACAAUAACAAAGCCCGUUCCCACAAUUCUUCGAACCAUCCUAAUCGCAAUGUAAACGAUACUGCUGGCAACAAUUUUCAAUAUCAUAACCAUAAUGGAAGUUCACGCUUUUUACAAUUCUUUACUGGCUGCUCUUCGAGCAACAACUCGAAUGAAAAAUUGGAGAAAAACGGUUCUUCGGCUUCGCUAAAUGAGUUCUUUAAGCAUGCGAUGAAUUCUCAGAGCAAAACGGAUCCGCUGCAUUUGCUAAUGCCCCAGCAACAGAACAUUGCUCCCACCAAUGCUGGCUGUUCGAAUGGAAAUAUAAACAUUGCUGAAAUGACUUCAGUCGAUGAAUUGGAAGCCAAAUGGCGACAAAAUUCCUCGAACAUAAAAAACAACGAAAGUUUUUCACCCAAUGAUGCCAACAACAACAAUUUGCAACAGCAACAGAAACAAACGCCUGGAAUUGCAAUAACGCCGAGUCCCCUGCAGUCGACAUACAAUAAGCAGAAUGCAUUUCUACAGCAGCAACAGGCUGCUCUAAUUGCGAAUUUGCAGCUUAAAGCUGUUUUGGGCCGUCCAGAAGCUCAGAUGUUGUUAUUGGGAUUAGCUAAGGGUGAAAUAUCGAAGCAUGGAUUGCUAAUACAAUUGGCCAAUCCUAGGUUGCCACAAAGAGACCGGGAAGCUAUAACCGCUGUUCUAACUUUCACGUCUGCGCAGCAACAACAGCAACAACAAUAUGAUGUGCUGUCGAAUAAUUUAUUAAUGAACCAGCUACAAAAUCUUCAAAAUUUGGCAAUAGUACAGCAGACGCUUGCAGCUCAACAGCAGCACCAGCAAAUGCAUGCCCCCGGAAAACGAACAUCAACCAUACAACCCAUGAGUCAAGAAGAAUUACAAACCCAUGCCAACUUGAUUAUGCAGAAUGCAUUAAUAAAACGAAAACUUGAGGAACAGACCAAUGUCCUAGGCUUACAGAAAAUUCUUCAGCUAAACGCUGCUGCUCAGGUGGCAAAACAGCAACUGCCCCUGAAUAGAGGCUGUAAUCCGCCUCUAAAUCAAAGUAAUGUCAAUACUUCUCGUAAUAGUACUGGAAAUCGACGUUUGCAAGCAUUACAAAACCUUUUUAAUGACUCGAAUGGUAUGGUUGAUAACAUUCAACAGCAACAACACCAUAACAUGUCUACAAUUGGCGGCAAUGGCGGUGGCAAUACAACUUAUCGCUAUAAUCGUAACCACAACAACAAUCAGAGUGGUAGGCGUUCCUCUGUUGCUUCCUCUGGGCAACACAUAAAAUUUGACCCUGAUGUGGAUUCCAAUCAACAACAUACAAAAGUCGCGGAUCACCAUAGUCACUAUCCACCGUCACACGGAGUACAAAAUAUGCAUUUGCAAAAUGCUAAACCAAAUAAGAUACACAUUUCUCAACAGCCAGCCGCAAUAAUAACUGGAGGAGGAAGUGUGUCGAUUGGCUUCAAUUGUGUGAUCAGGAUUUUUUUUCCUUUUUUUCGUUCAUUUGUACCCCUAAAUAUUUUGCGAUAAUUUCCAAAAGCAAGAGGCCCCUCUGUUUCUCAUCUAUAUGAAUUGCUUGUCUACGAUAUUUGGCUAUAUUUGUAAACGAAAUCAGCAUAUCAGUGUAUUUCGGAUAUAACCUAUGAGUAUCAUUAACAAUUUGAAACAAUUCUCCACAUCUUCGACUGGAAUGAUGGCUAUCGGAAUAUUUUCUACAUUGAUUUUAUCCGUAAGCUAUCGAGUAUUUAUGAAACCAAAACUUGAUAGAAAUCGUCGACAAGAAGCUGAACUAGUGGCGGACUACAUUUUCCAACAUGAAGUACAAAAAUAAUCACCAGAAAGAGGAAUCUUUUAAU